GUCAGAGUGAGAGGAGAAAAGUGCCUUUUUAGUUUAGUUUUGUCAAACCUGAGGAUUCGUUUUUCAGUUUAGCCGGAGCUGUGCCGCAAACGUAGCUGCCGACAUCCCCACGACGCACCCAAGUGGUGGCCCGGAAGCUGGGGAUAGAAAAGUGGCCUCCCCGAAUGCCAGGCAUACAGGCCUUACUACCAGAAGCUUGAGCUGGGAGCCUCGGCCGUCGCAUCUCUAAGAAUUUUAAACAGAAGAACGCAGAAGAAUUCUCUUUAUGUUACCUUCAUUUAGCAACAAAUCAACUUGACUCAACUGAUACUUACUGAGUGCCUUUAAAGGAUGUGCUGAAACAGGUGGUGACUUUUCAAAUAAAAAUUCAGAGCCACAGGGAGAAAGUUGCAAUGUGGAACCAUCAACAUAUUGUACUUGUACUGAAUCAUCUUCAUAAAGUACCAUUCGCAGUUCGGCUGCCAUUACUACGGCAGGAUAAG
rnacentral:antisense_RNA from 1 species